AGCGCAGGUGGUUUCUUAAGUCUGAUGUAAAAGGCAGUGGCUCAACCAUUGUGUGCAUUAGAAACUGGGAGACUUGAGUGCAGGAGAGGAGAGUGGAAUUCCAUGUGUAGCGGUGAAAUGCGUAGAUAUAUGGAGGAACACCGGAGGCGAAAGCGGCUCUCUGGCCUGUAACUGACACUGAGGCUCGAAAAGCGAAUGGGUAAGCAAACA
rnacentral:rRNA from 1 species